rnacentral:rRNA from 1 species
UGGGGAAUCUUGCACAAUGGGGGCAACCCUGAUGCAGCGACGCCGCGUGAGCGAUGAAGCCCUUCGGGGCGUAAAGCUCUUUCGACCGGAACGAUAAUGACGGUACCUGGAGAAGAAGCUGCGGCUAACUACGUGCCAGCAGCCGCGGUAAUACGUAGGCAGCGAGCGUUGUUCGGAGUUACUGGGCGUAAAGAGUGCGUAGGCGGCGAGCCAAGUUUGGUGUGAAAUCUCCCGGCUUAACCGGGAGGGUGCGCCGAAAACUGGUUGGCUGGAGUAUGGGAGAGGAAAGCGGAAUUCCUGGUGUAGCGGUGAAAUGCGUAGAUAUCAGGAGGAACACCUGCGGUGUAGACAGCUUUCUGGACCAAAACUGACGCUGAGGCACGAAAGCGUGGGUAGCAAACA